rnacentral:rRNA from 1 species
UACGAGGGGGGCGAGCGUUGCUCGGAAUUAUUGGGCGUAAAGGGUGCGUAGGCGGUUUGGUAAGUCUUAUGUGAAAUCUACAGGCUCAACUUGUAGUCUGCAUGAGAAACUGCCGGGCUUGAGUGUGGGAGAGGUGAGUGGAAUUCCUGGUGUAGCGGUGAAAUGCGUAGAUAUCAGGAGGAACACCUGUGGCGAAAGCGGCUCACUGGACCAUAACUGACGCUGAUGCACGAAAGCUAGGGGAGCAAACAGG